rnacentral:rRNA from 1 species
GAUGAACGCUGGCGGCGUGCCUAAUAUAUGCAAGUCGAGCGGACGGACGAGAAGCUUGCUUCUCUGAUGUUAGCGGCGGACGGGAGUGUAACACGUGGAUAACCUACCUAUAAGACUGGGAUAACUUCGGGAAACCGGAGCUAAUACGGGAGAAUAUUUUGCACCGCAUGGGUCAAAAGUGAAAGACGGUGUUGCUGUCACUUAUAGAUGGAUCCGGGCUGCAUUAGCUGGUUGGUAAGGUAACGGCUUAUCAAGGCAACGAGGCAUAACCGAGCUGAGAGACUGAUAGCCCGCCUUGGAACGGAGACAGCCUCCAGAGGCCUACGGGACGGAGCAGUAUGGAACGUUCCGCAGUGGGCGGGAGCAUUACGCAGUGACGCCGCGCGAGAGGUGACGGUCUUCCGAUCGUAAAACCCGGUUACUAGUGAAGAACAUAUGUGUAAGUAACCGUGCACAGCGUGACGGUACCUAAUCAGAAAGCCACGGCUAACUACGUG